UACGUAGGGGGCUAGCGUUGUCCGGAAUCAUUGGGCGUAAAGCGCGUGUAGGCGGCCCGGUAAGUCCGCUGUGAAAGUCGGGGGCUCAACCCUCGGAUGCCGGCGGAUACUGUCGGGCUAGAGUCCGGAAGAGGCGAGUGGAAUUCCCGGUGUAGCGGUGAAAUGCGCAGAUAUCGGGAGGAACACCUAUGGCGAAGGCAGCUCGCUGGGACGGUACUGACGCUGAGACGCGAAAAGCGUGGGGAGCAAACAGG
rnacentral:rRNA from 1 species